rnacentral:rRNA from 1 species
CUCCAGACUCCUACGGGAGGCAGCAGUGGGGGAUAUUGCACAAUGGGGGGAACCCUGAUGCAGCGACGCCGCGUGGGUGAAGAAGUAUUUCGGUAUGUAAAGCCCUAUCGGCAGGGAAGAAAUUGGACGGUACCUGACUAAGAAGCCCCGGCUAACUACGUGCCAGCAGCCGCGGGAAUACGUAGGGGGCAAGCGUUAUCCGGAUUCACUGGGUGUAAAGGGGGCGCAGGCGGCGAUGCAAGCCAGGAGUGAAAGCCCGGGGCCCAACCCCGGGACUGCUUUUGGAACUGCGUGGCUGGAGUGCAGGAGGGGCAGGCGGAAUUCCUGGUGUAGCGGUGAAAUGCGUAGAUAUCAGGAGGAACACCGGUGGCGAAGGCGGCCUGCUGGACUGCAACUGACGUUGAGGCCCGAAAGCGUGGGGAGCAAACAGGAUUAGAUACCCCUGUA